rnacentral:rRNA from 1 species
GAAGAAACGGCUCUUACUAAUAUUAAGAGCUAAUGACGGUACCUGAAGAAUAAGCACCGGCUAACUACGUGCCAGCAGCCGCGGUAAUACGUAGGGUGCAAGCGUUAAUCAGAAUUACUGGGCGUAAAGCGUGCGCGCGCGGCUAUGCAAGACAGAUGUGAAAUCCCCGGGCUCAACCUGGGAACUGCAUUUGUGACUGCGUGGCUAGAGUACGGUAGAGGGGGAUGGAAUUCCGCGUGUAGCAGUGAAAUGCGUAGAUAUGCGGAAGAACACCGAUGGCGAACGCAAUCCCCUGGACCUGUACUGACGCUCAUGCACGAAAGCGUGGGGAGCAAACAAGAUUAGAUACCCUGGUAGUCCACGCCCUAAACUAUGUCAACUGGUUGUUGGACGGCUUGCUGUUCAGUAACGAAGCUAACGCGUGAAGUUGACCGCCUGGGGAGUACGGCCGCAGGGUUGAAACUCAGAGGAAUUGACGGGGACCCGCACAAGCGGUGGAUGAUGUGGUUUAAUUCGAUGCAACGCGAAGAACCUUACCCAGGCUCGAACGGCAGAUGACAUCCUACGAAAGUACGCUCCCGCAAGGGCAUCUGUCGAGGUGCUGCAUGGCUGUCGUCAGCUCGUGUCGUGAGAUGUUGGGUUAAGUCCCGCAACGAGCGCAACCCUUGUCUUCUG